AGGUUAAGUGAAUAAGGGCGCACGGUGGAUGCCUUGGCACUAGGAGCCGAUGAAGGACGGGACUAACACCGAUAUGCUUUGGGGAGCUGUACGUAAGCUAUGAUCCAGAGAUUUCCGAAUGGGGGAACCCAACAUCUUUAAUAGGAUGUUACGAUUGUGUGAAUACAUAGCACAUUCGAGGUAGACGCAGAGAACUGAAACAUCUAAGUACCUGCAGGAAGAGAAAGAAAAUUCGAUUCCCUGAGUAGCGGCGAGCGAAACGGGAAAAGCCCAAACCAGCAAGCUUGCUUGUUGGGGUUGUAGGACUCCAAUAUGGUAGUUCUUUCAGAUAGUCGAAUGACUUGGAAAAGUCAGUCAAAGAGGGUAAAAACCCCGUAGACGAAAUGUGGAAGACACCUAGGAGGAUCCUGAGUACGGCGGAACACGAGAAAUUCCGUCGGAAUCCGGGAGGACCAUCUCCCAAGGCUAAAUACUCCCUAGUGACCGAUAGUGAACCAGUACCGUGAGGGAAAGGUGAAAAGCACCCCGGAAGGGGAGUGAAAUAGAACCUGAAACCGUGUGCCUACAACAAGUCAAAGCCCGUUAAUGGGUGAUGGCGUGCCUUUUGUAGAAUGAACCGGCGAGUUACGAUUGCAUGCGAGGUUAAGUUGAAGAGACGGAGCCGCAGCGAAAGCGAGUCUGAAUAGGGCGUUUGAGUAUGUAGUCGUAGACCCGAAACCAUGUGAUCUACCCAUGUCCAGGUUGAAGGUGCGGUAAAACGCACUGGAGGACCGAACCCACGUACGUUGAAAAGUGCGGGGAUGAGGUGUGGGUAGCGGAGAAAUUCCAAACGAACUUGGAGAUAGCUGGUUCUCUCCGAAAUAGCUUUAGGGCUAGCCUCGGAAUUGAGAAUGAUGGAGGUAGAGCACUGUUUGGACUAGGGGCCCAUCUCGGGUUACCGAAUUCAGAUAAACUCCGAAUGCCAUUCAUUCAUAUCCGGGAGUCAGACUGUGAGUGAUAAGAUCCAUAGUCGAAAGGGAAACAGCCCAGACCACCAGCUAAGGUCCCAAAAUAUAUGUUAAGUGGAAAAGGAUGUGGGGUUGCACAGACAACUAGGAUGUUGGCUUAGAAGCAGCCACCAUUUAAAGAGUGCGUAAUAGCUCACUAGUCGAGUGACCCUGCGCCGAAAAUGUACCGGGGCUAAACAUAUUACCGAAGCUGUGGAGUACACCUUUAGGUGUAUUGGUAGGAGAGCGUUCUAAGGGCGUUGAAGGCAGAUCGUGAGGACUGCUGGAGCGCUUAGAAGUGAGAAUGCCGGUAUGAGUAGCGAAAGACAGGUGAGAAUCCUGUCCACCGAAUGACUAAGGUUUCCUGGGGAAGGCUCGUCCGCCCAGGGUUAGUCGGGACCUAAGCCGAGGCCGACAGGCGUAGGCGAUGGAUAACAGGUUGAUAUUCCUGUACCCGUUGUUUUUGUUUGAGCAAUGGAGGGACGCAGGAGGCUAAGGAAUGCAGACGAUCGGAAAUGUCUGUCCAAGCAGUAAGUCUGAAGAGGAGUCAAAUGCUUCUUUUCUUAAGGACAAGCUGUGAUGGGGAGGGAAAUAAUAGUACCGAAGUUCCUGAUGUCACACUGCCGAGAAAAGCUUCUAGUGAGAAAACAGCGGCCCGUACCGCAAACCGACACAGGUAGUCGAGGAGAGAAUCCUAAGGUGAGCGAGAGAACUCUCGUUAAGGAACUCGGCAAAAUGACCCCGUAACUUCGGGAGAAGGGGUGCUGAUCAUACGAUCAGCCGCAGUGAAUAGGCCCAAGCGACUGUUUAUCAAAAACACAGGUCUCUGCAAAAUCGUAAGAUGAAGUAUAGGGGCUGACGCCUGCCCGGUGCUGGAAGGUUAAGAGGAGUGCUUAGCGCAAGCGAAGGUACGAAUUGAAGCCCCAGUAAACGGCGGCCGUAACUAUAACGGUCCUAAGGUAGCGAAAUUCCUUGUCGGGUAAGUUCCGACCCGCACGAAAGGCGUAACGAUUUGGGCACUGUCUCAACGAGAGACUCGGUGAAAUUUUAGUACCUGUGAAGAUGCAGGUUACCCGCGACAGGACGGAAAGACCCCAUGGAGCUUUACUGUAGUUUGAUAUUGAGUGUCUGUACCGCAUGUACAGGAUAGGUAGGAGCCGUAGAAAUCGGAACGCUAGUUUCGAUGGAGGCGCUGGUGGGAUACUACCCCUGCGUUAUGGCCACUCUAACCCGCACCACUAAUCGUGGUGGGAGACAGUGUCAGAUGGGCAGUUUGACUGGGGCGGUCGCCUCCUAAAAGGUAACGGAGGCGCCCAAAGGUUCCCCUCAGAAUGGUUGGAAAUCAUUCGAAGAGUGUAAAGGCAGAAGGGAGCUUGACUGCGAGACCAACAAGUCGAGCAGGGACGAAAGUCGGGCUUAGUGAUCCGGUGGUUCCGCAUGGAAGGGCCAUCGCUCAACGGAUAAAAGCUACCCUGGGGAUAACAGGCUUAUCUCCCCCAAGAGUCCACAUCGACGGGGAGGUUUGGCACCUCGAUGUCGGCUCGUCGCAUCCUGGGGCUGUAGUCGGUCCCAAGGGUUGGGCUGUUCGCCCAUUAAAGCGGCACGCGAGCUGGGUUCAGAACGUCGUGAGACAAGUUCGGUCCCUAUCCGUCGCGGGCGUUGGAAAUUUGAGAGGAGCUGUCCUUAGUACGAGAGGACCGGGAUGGACUUACCGCUGGUGUACCAGUUGUUCUGCCAAGGGCAUUGCUGGGUAGCUAUGUAGGGAAGGGAUAAACGCUGAAAGCAUCUAAGUGUGAAGCCCACCUCAAGAUGAGAUUUCCCAUUUCUUUAAGAAAGUAAGAUCCCUGAGAGAUGAUCAGGUAGAUAGGUCAGGAGUGGAAGUACAGUGAUGUAUGGAGCGGACUGAUACUAAUCGAUCGAGGACUUAACCAAU
rnacentral:rRNA from 1 species